rnacentral:sRNA from 1 species
CGCUUCUGCCCCUCCUGGGCGUUUCCUCCCUAUCUCUGGGCCCGGCGGCUGCGUCGGGCCUUUUUUUCUGUCCCG